AUGUAGUUGUAAAAAGGAAAGGGGAACAAUUUUUCUCAAUUCUUGAAAUCGGACGAUGACAUAAACAUAUUUACAGGAAGUGAAACCGAACCAAAGAGCUUUUAUUUAUUUCUACACCAAAAAUGGCAAUUUUGUUUCCAAGAUAGAUGUUUCUGAAAGUGCUUUAGCUGUAUACCAAUCUGAGAGCACCAGCUCAGGCAACUGGAUUCUGAACAUUUCAAUCAAUUUUGAACUGAAAGUGAAGGAGCAUUACUACAUCAAACUUGAUCCAGGUAUUGUCAAAAGUACAACUGGUUGUGGACCUAAAUCGCCUGCUCUGUGGAACCCAAAUGACUGGACAUUCAGCGUCAAGUUCCCAAUAACAGACAUAGCUCCUUUGGUGACGGUGGAUACAGCUACAAGCGUUACUUGUCUAGUCAUAUCAACUUUUCUUAUGU